UACGGAGGGGGCUAGCGUUGUCCGGAAUUAUUGGGCGUAAAGAGCUCGUAGGCGGUCUGUCGCGUCGGCUGUGAAAACCCGAGGCUCAACCUCGGGCCUGCAGUCGAUACGGGCAAACUAGAGUACUGCAGGGGAGACUGGAAUUCCUGGUGUAGCGGUGAAAUGCGCAGAUAUCAGGAGGAACACCGGUGGCGAAGGCGGGUCUCUGGGCAGUAACUGACGCUGAGGAGCGAAAGCCGUGGGGAGCGAACAGG
rnacentral:rRNA from 1 species